rnacentral:tRNA from 2 species
GGAGAGGUCGCAUAGUUGGCCUAGUGCGCGCGCUUGGAAAGCGCGUAUACCGAAAGGUAUCGAGGGUUCGAAUCCCUCCCUCUCCG